AUUAAAAUUUUUAAGAAGAAAUAAUCAACUGCAUGCCACAGCAAUGUGGAGAGACUUUGACAGCUCAGGUCAGCACAGUAUCUGCAUCUGCCACUUGCCUUUACUAUAGAC
ensembl:snoRNA